rnacentral:rRNA from 1 species
CUGCAGCUAACGCAUUAAGCACUCGCCUGGGGAGUACGACCGCAAGGUUGAAACUCAAAGGACAUGACCGGGGCCCGCCCAAGCGGCGGAGCAAGUGGUUUAAGUCGAAGCAACGCGAAGAACAGAACCCGGUCUGGACCUCCUUUGACCACYCUGGAGACAGAGCUUUCCCUUCGGGGACAAAGUGACAGGUGGUGCAUGGUUGUCGUCAGCUCGUGUCGUGAGAUGUUGGGUUAAGUCCCGCAACGAGCGCAACCCUUGAUUUUAGUUGCCAGCAUUUAGUUGGGCACUCUAAAGUGACUGCCGGUGCAAGCCGGAGGAAGGUGGGGAUGACGUCAAAUCAUCAUGCCCCUUAUGGCCUGGGCUACACACGUGCUACAAUGGAUAGUACAAAGGGUCGCGAAGCCGCGAGGUGGAGCUAAUCCCAUAAAACUAUUCUCAGUUCGGAUUGUAGGCUGCAACUCGCCUACAUGAAGCCGGAAUCGCUAGUAAUCGUGGAUCAGCAUGCCACGGUGAAUACGUUCCCGGGCCUUGUACACACCGCCCGUCACACCACGAGAGUUUGUAACACCCGAAGUCGGUAGGGUAACCUUUAUGGAGCCAGCCGCCGAAGGUGGGACAGAUAAUUGGGGUGAAGUCGUAACAAGGUAGCCGUAUCGGAAGGUGCGGCUGG